GUCGUAACAAGGUUUCCGUAGGUGAACCUGCGGAAGGAUCAUUAUCGAGUUAUUGACAGAGCUGUAGCUGGCCUUUCGGGGCAUGUGCACGCUCUGCUCUUCCACUCCCACACCUGUGCACUCAUUGUGGGUUUCAGAUGGGCGAAGCGGGCCUUCAACUUGAAGGCCCCGUGUAGUCUCUUUGUGAUCUACGUUUACAACAUCAACUCUAUUGUAUCAGAAUGUGUAUAUUGUGAUGUAAUGCAUCCAUGUAUAACUUUCAGCAACGGAUCUCUUGGCUCUCGCAUCGAUGAAGAACGCAGCGAAAUGCGAUAAGUAAUGUGAAUUGCAGAAUUCAGUGAAUCAUCGAAUCUUUGAACGCACCUUGCGCUCCUUGGUAUUCCGAGGAGCAUGCCUGUUUGAGUGUCAUGAAAUCUUCAACCCAUAAUAAGCCUUUGCGGGUUUUUACUGUGGGCUUGGACUUUGGAGACUUUGCCGGCCUGUGUUAACGGGUCGGCUUCUCUUAAAUGCAUUAGCUCGAGACCUUGCGGAUCGGCUUUCGGUGUGAUAAUUUGUCUACGCCGUGGUUGGGAAGCGUUUGGUGGGCUUCUAACAGUCUUGAAUGAGACGCUAUUUGACAUCUGGCCUCAAAUCAGGUAGGAUUA
rnacentral:rRNA from 1 species